rnacentral:rRNA from 1 species
AAUAUUCCCGUACUUGGUGUUACUGCGAAGGGGGGACGGAGAAGGCUAUGUUGGCCGGGCGACGGUUGUCCCGGUUUAAGCGUGUAGGCUGGUUUUCCAGGCAAAUCCGGAAAAUCAAGGCUGAGGCGUGAUGACGAGGCACUACGGUGCUGAAGCAACAAAUGCCCUGCUUCCAGGAAAAGCCUCUAAGCAUCAGGUAACAUCAAAUCGUACCCCAAACCGACACAGGUGGUCAGGUAGAGAAUACCAAGGCGCUUGAGAGAACUCGGGUGAAGGAACUAGGCAAAAUGGUGCCGUAACUUCGGGAGAAGGCACGCUGACACGUAGGUGAAGUGAUUUACUCAUGGAGCUGAAGUCAGUCGAAGAUACCAGCUGGCUGCAACUGUUUAUUAAAAACACAGCACUGUGCAAACACGAAAGUGGACGUAUACGGUGUGACGCCUGCCCGGUGCCGGAAGGUUAAUUGAUGGGGUCAGCGCAAGCGAAGCUCCUGAUCGAAGCCCCGGUAAACGGCGGCCGUAACUAUAACGGUCCUAAGGUAGCGAAAUUCCUUGUCGGGUAAGUUCCGACCUGCACGAAUGGCGUAAUGAUGGCCAGGCUGUCUCCACCCGAGACUCAGUGAAAUUGAACUCGCUGUGAAGAUGCAGUGUACCCGCGGCAAGACGGAAAGACCCCGUGAACCUUUACUAUAGCUUGACACUGAACAUUGAGCCUUGAUGUGUAGGAUAGGUGGGAGGCUUUGAAGUGUGGACGCCAGUCUGCAUGGAGCCGACCUUGAAAUACCACCCUUUAAUGUUUGAUGUUCUAACGUGGACCCGUUACCCGGGUUGCGGACAGUGUCUGGUGGGUAGUUUGACUGGGGCGGUCUCCUCCUAAAGAGUAACGGAGGAGCACGAAGGUUGGCUAAUCCUGGUCGGACAUCAGGAGGUUAGUGCAAUGGCAUAAGCCAGCUUGACUGCGAGCGUGACGGCGCGAGCAGGUGCGAAAGCAGGUCAUAGUGAUCCGGUGGUUCUGAAUGGAAGGGCCAUCGCUCAACGGAUAAAAGGUACUCCGGGGAUAACAGGCUGAUACCGCCCAAGAGUUCAUAUCGACGGCGGUGUUUGGCACCUCGAUGUCGGCUCAUCACAUCCUGGGGCUGAAGUAGGUCCCAAGGGUAUGGCUGUUCGCCAUUUAAAGUGGUACGCGAGCUGGGUUUAGAACGUCGUGAGACAGUUCGGUCCCUAUCUGCCGUGGGCGCUGGAGAACUGAGGGGGGCUGCUCCUAGUACGAGAGGACCGGAGUGGACGCAUCACUGGUGUUCGGGUUGUCAUGCCAAUGGCACUGCCCGGUAGCUAAAUGCGGAAGAGAUAAGUGCUGAAAGCAUCUAAGCACGAAACUUGCCCCGAG